rnacentral:lncRNA from 1 species
AAAAAAUGUAGACAUGAAAGAAUAAUCAUAAGGACUCAAGAUUUUUCUCCCUCUUUCCUUCUACUAUCUCCUUGUGACAGGAUGACCUUGUUUGAAGCUGUUUCCUGACCUGACUCUACUUCUGUUCUCUGCUGGAUCUGGUUUCUCCUACUCAAGUCA